ACACUGAUGGUGAAGCGGUUAUCAUGCUUGCCUUCCACCGCAACCUAUGGCUGGGUUAGCAAGCGGCAGGGGUUCGACUCCCCUUCAGUGUA